CACUCUUUCUUUGAAAGAGAAUUGCAGCACCCCUAUGCUCUUUUCUUUCAGCUUCCCCAUCCCCCGCACGUUUCUCACCUCCCAAAACCCAAAUUUCAUUGUCUAUUCCUAAUUUUUUAGAAUAAUCAUAGAUCCAUGACUUUUUCUUCUUCUCCAUAUCUUUUUCCUUGAAAAUCCGGCUUUCACCUCACCACGGCGGCCUACCAUUAUCGGCGGAAUUUUCGCUCAAUCAAUUGGUCUAAGACAAGAUAAAAGAUUGGAAAUUGUCUGAGGCAUUGAAGAAAGGAAGGACAUUGGUGGAUUAGCUUGCUUUACUUCGAUUCUUCGAUUGAGCGAGUGUUCCAUCGACUUCGACUCGACCUCAGCUCUAGUCAGUCUCCAGUACAUUAGAUUGCAGGGUGAACUAUCCUUCUAGCUCGUGUCGAAUUC